UGCGAGCGAACAGGGAAGAGCCCAGCACCGAAUCCCGCGGCCGAUAUCGGACGCCGGGAAAUGUGGUGUUAGGGAGGAUCCGUUUAUCCCGAGGUCGUGCGGUGCGUCCAAGUCCUUCUUGAACGGGGCCACAGCCCAUAGAGGGUGCCAGGCCCGUAGCGACCGCUGCCGAUCGCGGGAGGAUCUCUCCUCAGAGUCGGGUUGCUUGAGAGUGCAGCCCUAAGUGGGUGGUAAACUCCAUCUAAGGCUAAAUAUGACCACGAGACCGAUAGCGAACAAGUACCGUGAGGGAAAGUUGAAAAGCACUUUGAAGAGAGAGUUCAAGAGUACGUGAAACCGUUCAGGGGUAAACCUGAGAAGCCCGAAAGGUCGAAUGGGGAAAUUCAUUCGCGUUUCGGCCGUCGGCGUUGGAUGGUCGCGUGACGGAUGGCGUACUCGUCGUCCGCGCCUUCCGUUCUUCGAACCGGCGUCGAACGCGUGCACUUUUCCCCUAGUAGGACGUCGCGAUCCGUUGGGUGUCGGUCUACGGCUCGCGGUGGAGCCCGUGCGGUCGUUUCGGCGUAUCGCACGGACCCGCGGUGUCCCGGCCGACUCGCUCGACGGUAUACAGAUGGCGCGGGGCCGCUACACAGUUAGCGUCGGC
rnacentral:rRNA from 1 species